UACCAAGGCGAUGAUCCGUAGGGGGCGUGAGAGCGUGGCCCCCCACACGGGAACUGAGACACGGUCCCGACGCCUACGGGCGGCAGCAGUGAGGAAUCUUGCCCAAUGGGGGAAACCCUGAGGCAGCGACACCGCGUGCGGGAUGAAGGCCUUCGGGUCGUAAACCGCUUUUCUGGGGGACGAGUAAGGACGGUACUCCAGGAAUAAGUCCCGGCUAACUACGUGCCAGCAGCCGCGGUAAAACGUAGGGGGCGAGCGUUAUCCGGAAUCACUGGGCGUAAAGGGCGUCUAGGCGGCAGCCUAAGUCCCGUGUGAAAGCUCCCGGCUCAACUGGGAGAGGGCAUGGGAGACUGGGCAGCUAGAGACUCGGAGGGGGGUGUGGAAUUCCCGGUGGAGUGGUGGAAUGCGUUGAGAUCGGGAGGAACACCAGUAGCGAAGGCGGCACCCUGGCCGAGAUCUGACGCUGAAGCGCGAGAGCGUGGGGAGCGAACGGGAUUAGAUACCCCGGUAGUCCACGCCGUAAACGAUGACAACUAGGUGUUGGGUGUCCAAGGAUGCUCAGUACCGCAGCAAACGCGAUAAG
rnacentral:rRNA from 1 species